CCCGUAGGUGGAUAAUUAAGUCAGAGGUGAAAUCCUGCAGCUCAACUGUAGAAUUGCCUUUGAUACUGGUUAUCUUGAGUCAUUAUGAAGUAGUUAGAAUAUGUAGUGUAGCGGUGAAAUGCAUAGAUAUUACAUAGAAUACCAAUUGCGAAGGCAGAUUACUAAUAAUGUACUGACACUGAUGGACGAAAGCGUGGGGAGCGAACAGGAUUAGAUACCCUGGUAGUC
rnacentral:rRNA from 1 species